rnacentral:rRNA from 1 species
AGUCGAGCGAUGAAACUACUUCGGUAGUGAAUUAGCGGCGAACGGGUGAGGAACACGUGAGGAAUCUGCCUUCUACACUGGGAUAACUCCGGGAAACCGGGGCUAAUACCGGAUAUGAAACUUGGUGGCAUCACCGAGUUUGGAAAGUUUUUCGGUAGAAGAUGACCUCGCGGCCUAUCAGCUUGUUGGUGAGGUAAUGGCUCACCAAGGCGACGACGGGUAGCCGGCCUGAGAGGGCGACCGGCCACACUGGGACUGAGACACGGCCCAGACUCCUACGGGAGGCAGCAGUGGGGAAUAUUGGGCAAUGGAGGAAACUCUGACCCAGCGACGCCGCGUGCGGGAUGAAGGCCUUCGGGUUGUAAACCGCUUUCAGUAGGGAAGAAGCGAAAGUGACGGUACCUACAGAAGAAGCACCGGCUAACUAUGUGCCAGCAGCCGCGGUAAUACAUAGGGUGCAAGCGUUGUCCGGAAUUAUUGGGCGUAAAGAGCUCGUAGGUGGUUCGUUACGUCGGAUGUGAAAAUCUGGGGCUCAACCCCAGACCUGCAUCCGAUACGGGCGAGCUAGAGUUUGGUAGGGGAGACUGGAAUUCCUGGUGUAGCGGUGGAAUGCGCAGAUAUCAGGAGGAACACCAAUGGCGAAGGCAGGUCUCUGGGCCAAUACUGACACUGAGGAGCGAAAGCGUGGGGAGCGAACAGGAUUAGAUACCCUGGUAGUCCACGCCGUAAACGGUGGGCGCUAGUUGUGGGAACCUUCCACGGUUUCUGCGACGCAGCUAACGCAUUAAGCGCCCCGCCUGGGGAGUACGAUCGCAAGAUUAAAACUCAAAGGAAUUGACGGGGCCCCGCACAAGCAGCGGANCAUGCGGCUU